rnacentral:lncRNA from 1 species
UUCAGAACACAGUGAAAAUAUACCAGAAGCAUUUCUCAUUUCUCCCUCUCUCUCGACUUCUCUCUCUACUUUCUGCAAUCUCAGUGCUUCCAUUGAUGACCUGCAAGCUCAAGUUUCAUCAUCCUUACGUGGUAUCCUUUCCAGCGAUGGAGGACUCUCUUCGAUCCUGAUAUCUUUAUGCUUCCGCAAUCUUCUCUGGUUGUUCUCUGGUAUGCGUUCUUCUUUGAUCUUUCUAAAUUUAGCUAGCAAUCUUGAAUCUUGCAUAUAUGAUGUUCGAUGAAAUGUGUCAUAAGAUUUCUUCUUCCUUGCUCUUAUCUCUGCACAAAUCUCUCCUCUGAAAAGUCAGUUUUCUCUUCGAAUUAAUCAAGAAAAGU